rnacentral:rRNA from 1 species
GACGAACGCUGGCGGCGUGCUUAACACAUGCAAGUCGAACGAUGAACCAGAGCUUGCUCUGGGAAUUAGCGGCGAACGGGUGAGUAACACGUGGGCAACCUGCCCCAGACACCGGGAUAACCAUUCGAAAGGAUGGCUAAUACCGGAUAUGACCACUUCGGGCAUCCGACGGUGGUGGAAAGGAUUCUGGUCUGGGAUGGGCCCGCGGCCUAUCAGCUUGUUGGUGGGGUAAUGGCCUACCAAGGCGACGACGGGUAGCCGGCCUGAGAGGGCGACCGGCCACACUGGGACUGAGACACGGCCCAGACUCCUACGGGAGGCAGCAGUGGGGAAUAUUGCGCAAUGGGCGAAAGCCUGACGCAGCGACGCCGCGUGAGGGACGAAGGUCUUCGGAUUGUAAACCUCUUUCAGCAGGGACGAAGCGAAAGUGACUGUACCUGCAGAAGAAGCACCGGCUAACUACGUGCCAGCAGCCUCGGUAAU